AUUGAACGCUGGCGGCAUGCUUUACACAUGCAAGUCGAACGGUAACAGGAAGAAGCUUGCUGCCUUGCUGACGAGUGGCGGACGGGUCAGCAAUGCCUGGCCAACCGCCGGAUGGAGCGGGACAACUACUUGAAACAGUAGCCAAUACAUCAUAGCGUCGCAGGACCAAAGAGGGGGACCUUCGGGCCUCUUGCCAUCGGAUGUGCCCAGAUGUGAUUAGCUAGUAGGUGGGGUAACGGCUCACCUAGGCGACGAUCCCUAGCUGGUCUGAGAGGAUGACCAGCCACACUGGAACUGAGACACGGUCCAGACUCCUACGGGAGGCAGCAGUGGGGAAUAUUGGACAAUGGGCGCAAGCCUGAUGCAGCCAUGCCGCGUGCAGGAAGAAGGCCUUCGGGUUGUAAAGUACUUUCGGCCGGGAGGAAGCGGCUAUGGUUAAUACCCGUGGUCAUUGACGGUACCGGAAGAAGAAGCACCGGCUAACUCCGUG
rnacentral:rRNA from 1 species